GAUGAACGCUGGCGGCGUGCCUAAUACAUGCAAGUCGAACGAAGAUCUAGCUUGCUAGAUCUUAGUGGCGAACGGGUGAGUAAUACAUAAAUAAUCUGCCCAUAUGACUGGGAUAACUAUUGGAAACGAUAGCUAAUACCGGAUAGGUUGAUUGGAGGCAUCUCUGAUUAAUUAAAGUAGGAUUUCUACACAAAUGGAUGAGUUUAUGGCGCAUUAGUUAGUUGGUGGGGUAACGGCCUACCAAGACGAUGAUGCGUAGCCGACCUGAGAGGGGGACCGGCCACACUGGGACUGAGACACGGCCCAGACUCCUACGGGAGGAAGCAGUAGGGAAUUUUCGGCAAUGGGCGCAAGCCUGACCGAGCAACGCCGCGUGAGUGAUUAAGGCCUUCGGGUUGUAAAGCUCUGUUGUAAGGGAAGAACAUUCAGGAUAGGAAAUGAUCUUGAACUGACGGUACCUUACCAGAAAGCCACGGCUAACUACGUGCCAGCAGCCGCCGUAAGAC
rnacentral:rRNA from 1 species